rnacentral:lncRNA from 1 species
AGCCUGUCUGCCCAGAAAUAACUGAAGACAGCCUGAAAGCACGGUGGUGGGCAUGGUGGAACACACAGGAUAAGGAUCUGAGGCUUGUGGAGCAGGAUCCAGCUGGCACUCUGCUAUGUGCCUGGCAAGUGCUGUGCUGCUGAGCUACAUCCCCAGCCCCCUCACUGUGUUUUUUGAUUCUUCUUUGUAUAGACAAUCAAGUGUCACCAAAAACAAAAUAAAAACUGUAAAAUGUACUUCCAAUCCAGUUCUUAGAGAAAUAAAGAAAUAAGAAUUCUUUUCUCUUUUGAGGGAGAGUAGUUUUACAGUGGCACCAGCUCCUGGCUCCAUAAGGGCCAGGAAGGGAAAUAGGAUUGAGUACAACCCUUUAGUAGGUACUACUGGGGGGGUGUUACACAGAUUUUUCUAUUUAGCCCUUGUAAUGCUCAAUGAUAUUAGCAGUGUCACCAAGGGGAGGAGCAAGGCUGAGAAAGGCCCGGAUAUUUGCCCACAGUCAC